CUGGACUGAGAAGGCAGACCUGCAUUCCACUCCUGCCCUGAACCUCAUUCUCCCCAACUGUGCAGUAAGAGAGGCGCUGCACUGGAUUCUGGUUGUCUGUGGAUGAGCAAAACACGCAAGGUCUGUGCCCUGGAGAGACUCAGCACACCAGUGGUGUGGCAGACCGUGGUACGACGAUAUGGCCCCACCUGACCAGCAGAGGGCUGCCUCGGAUGGAACUAGCAUCCCAGCCCUGCUGGCCGGAGUCAUCAUCUGUGCCUGCGGAGAUAAUGGAUUUUUAAUGAAAGAGGAAAAACACUACCAGAGCUAAAUGUCUUUUCCGCAUUAUCCCACCUGUGUCAACAUCACCUAUCCUCUUUCUUGGAGGGUUGGCAAUAAUGUAGUUACUCUUUGUUGGGGUGCAGAAAGCUGUUUCCCCAAAAUAUGGUGCUUUCACAUGCUGAAAUAAAGAAGUAGCCUCAAUGUC